rnacentral:rRNA from 1 species
AUGCAUGUCCUAAGUUAUAAAUUCCUUGUACGAUGAAACUGCAGACGGCUCAUUACAACAGUGAUAAACUAAUAGACUUUCGGGUUUUUAACCUUUUGGAUAACCGCAGUAAAUCGGGGCUAAUACAUACAAGCGAUGGGUGACUGGCAACGGAAGCUCAGCGAUUAUUAGCAUUACUACCAAUACCUUCGGGUCUUGUGGUGAAACCGAAUAAUAUUGCAGAUCGAGGAUUUAUCUUCGACAAGUCUACUGUGUCACUGCCCUAUCAACUUUCGAUGGUACGGUAUUGGCCUACCAUGGUUGUAACGGGUAACGGGGAAUUAGGGUUCGAUUCCGGAGAGGGAGCCUGAGAAAUGGCUACCACUUCUACGGAAGGCAGCAGGCGCGCAAAUUACUCAAUCCCAAUACGGGGAAGUAGUGACAAUAAAUAUCAAUACCUAUCCUUAACGGAGGGCAAUUGAAAUGAACACAAAUUAAAACUCUUAAUUAACACAAUUGGAGGGCAAGUCUGGUGCCAGCAGCCGCGGUAAUUCCAGCUCCAAUAGCAUAUACUAAAGUUGUUGCAGUUAAAAAGCUCGUAGUUGAAGUUAAAGGUUUACUGGGCUAAAGUUAUUUGCCACUCUGGUGGUUAAAUCAACUCCAGUAUUCCUUUUUUUAAUAGCUCUGCUUCUAGCAUCUUUGAUGUUAGUUGUUUGGGCAUUUCACUGUGAGAAAAUUGUGGUGUUUAAAGCAGGCGUCUCGCCUGAUCUUUUGCAGCAUGGUAUGAUGAAACAUGACAUUUUACG